ACAACUUCCAGCUUUCAGCCCCUUGGAGAGAUCUCCAAGUUCCCCCAAGCCGCCAGGACUUCCUUUCCUCGAUCUCUCGGCCGCCUCCUCCUCCUUCUCCGAUCGUUUUUUUUCCCCUCCCCCCACUGUCUUCUCUACGGUUUAAUUAAAGUUCAGCGACUCCAUUUGCCUCUCCUCUCAUUUCUUUCGGAAAGCGGAAACCAGACGACCCAGCGGCCGCGGUACGAGCCGCCCCAACUCAACCCCAGCAGGACGCUGGAGGGGCCUCCCUCGCCCGCCUCUCUUCGCCGGCGCUGGCCUCCCGCACCCAGGUCUGCAGUCCCUCCGCCAUCUCGUAGGUGUGCAGCCGCUAGGCCUGGGGGAUCCGAAUGACUGGGGCUGGAUAGGAAUGCCUUCGUGUUUCCCAAGACCCCCGGGCCUGCUCCACAAAGUUUGAAGGGUGGGUACACCCCGACCCAGGCAAGUUGCUCCCCCAAACCCAUGACUGACUAAUCUGAUAUGACAAAAGCCCAUGAUGGAUUUGGUAUAUGUUAAUUCACAAUGCCCUUUCCUCCAGAAUUUAACUAUAAGUUAAUACACACCGGAAACCACGCGCAUACACGCUCCUUAAUGGGCUUAGGUAUUAGCGAGUCCUAACGAUGCAUACAAAUGUGCUCUGCGCUCUGUAGGCCCCUCAAGAUUUAUGGGCCUUGAGCUCUCUGAAGCUGUAAACAAGGAGAAAAAAAAAAAGAGAAAGCGAAAGCGACUCGGGGGAAGAGACGGAGGCCUGACUCGCCCCUCCAGGUUGUGGGAGAGAAGGGAUUCUUUACGUAUUUUCCUUUCCUUGCAAGCUCGGUGCGUGUGGGUUUUGGCGUUGGUCUGGGGGUGGUGUUCUGCCUGAAUGCUGGUGUGCAUGGGCAGUGUGUUGUUUGCGUGCUGGGGUAGGAUGCCUGCCUCUUCGGAUUGCUGUGCAGGGGCCUGAACACAGCAGGCAUUUGUGAGCAUAUAUGCGUGAGUGUGUGCACUGUGUUAGGGUGUGUGUGUGUAUGUGUGUUUGUGUGUGUGUGUGACACAGAGAGAGAGAGAGAGAGAGAGAGAGGUAGGCUUCCCCCUGGGCCAGGCUGCUGUCCCCUGAACGGUGGUGAACAAAUCUCUAACAAUCAUAGUAACAAUAAAUAAUGAAUAAUAAUAAUAAAACAGUAGUUAACAGUCCCUCCAUAACAGAGUAACAAUAAAAUGCAAGAGGAAAUAUUUUGAGGUGGAGACAGAAGAAGGAGUCAGGAUCACAGCAUCUGAGGGGGAGAUAGGAAAGGCAGGGAGGAAGAAAGCUUCUUAAUAUGCUCUUGGCGGGGCUGGGGUUGGGAACCCCUUUCCCAGACAAGGGACAGAAGAGGGGAAGGAGAACCAGGAGGCCACUCUUUAUUGCCACUCUUUAUUGCUUUUUUUCUCAGGCUUCUGCUUUGUGUGAUCAGGGAAGGGAUCCCACAUAUGGGGAUGGUUAAUGGCUUUUGGGACUCUCUAGGAGCCCCUGUUUUAAGGAGGCCAAAUGUGCAGGCUCAGGCCAAGGGGCAGAGAUGAAUGAGGCGAUGACCACAGCCUUGAUCCGGCAGGAGCUCAGAGAUGCCCAGGAAGACUGGGGGCCCGAACGGAAGCAGAAAAACACUUAUGGCCGCUGGGGAGUUGGGAGAGCCAGGCUGGGGCUCCGGCAGGCCCAGGCAAAUUUCCCUUUCUAGGCUCUUUAUUAAAAAAUUUAAAAGGAGGAGUUGAGGCGCCUUGAAUUUUCCUUCGCGAGUUUGGAGGCUAGCCGAUUUUUCAUGAAGCAAGCAAAGACCGCGGUCCCGGAUCCUGCAACAUCUACCUCAUUCUCUCCAGGCCUCUCCACUUGCCCGAGCUCUCAGCCACCAGGAGACAGACAGAAGGGGCUUCUGGGCUGCGUUGGGAGCGGGCACUGUCCCCUACCCACUCCUGCUCGGUUUCCCAAAGUCCAGCGACCUCCGACCCUCCUUGGGGGGAAAAAUACCAGUACCCAGACACCUCCGCACCCUGUUAUAUGACUGGGCUUGCUUCAGGAAUAUCUUACAAAGAAGAAGAAGAAGAAGAAAGAACGGCUUGGAGUCAUGUUUACAUCUAGUUCUACUGAUCCGUUCACAUCUGGAGAGUUUAUUUAUAACUCCCUCUAUAACUCUCUGUUUGGAGGCACUGGUGGCUCUAUUGACAGACUGAUGUCUAGGAAAUAUUGCUCUAUGUCUAACCGUACCUAAAUGUGCUGUGGUUGUAUUUACAGAUUUAUGUUUGAGGGAAAUAUAAUUAUUUCCAUUGUAUUUGUGCAUAUACAGUAGUUAUAGGAGCAGAUUUAUAUAUGGGAAAAUAUAUGACUCUCUUACAGCCA